UCCCUCCGGCAUCAUUAGCCCUCUUGUGGGUGAUGUUCUCUCUCCUUAAGAUCCAUCUUUUUGCAAAAGGGUCCUGUAUUUUCUGCUUCAAAGCUGCCAAGGUAAUUAUUUUUAUUGCGGUGCAGAGCCCAUGGUGGAGUCGCUUUACCUCCCUCUAGGGAAUAAAAAUAACAACUACAGUCUGAUGGUGGUCAUCACUGUUAAAAAAGCAGCAGGUGUUACUGUUGACACUGUUGUAACCACUCAGCACUCUGAAGAAGAGGAGAUCGUAGACCUGAUGCAGUCUACUUGGCAUCAAAUGCAAGAAAAAGCAAACUGACGCAGAUGCUUCUAUGACUACAGCUUCAGUCAUAUCAUAGAAAUGGUACUCGUCUUUAUAACCAUGUCACAGUCAGUUCAAGCUUUAUUGUAAAAUGCCUCUUGGUCUUUGGACUUCAUCUGUGCAUUACAUAUAUCACAUGUCUGAGUAGGUAAUAGAUGAAAACAUACAUUUUUCUAACUGGGUAGUUUUAAAACAACCUGCGGUAAAAUUACUAUCUGGGAAAUUCUCAACUAAUUCAGCCAACACACUGUGUACCGGUAUUGAUACAUAAAGGGAUCUGAAUCAUAUACAGCAUUGUUUAUGCCCUGCAGCAGAAACAAAUUUGCUGCCAUGCACUAAAUGUCUGUUUUUUAGGAAAAUUUCAACCAUACCAACUGGCUCAGCCAAUGACCCCAAGGACUUACAUUAAAAAAUGGCCUGUGAUUGUUUUUCAGGACUCAACUCUCAUAUUGCUUAAACAAGACAGUAAGCUCAUUUCAAUUACCAUUUACCAAUAAAUUAAAAGGCCUUUUGGGUGCCCAGCCAUUAGCAUGCAUGUACCAGCAAGAAGACCAAAAUCAGUCAUUCUUACAAACUAUUGAGUGCCGCAACAAACCUAUUGAACUAAUCAGUAUAUCAGAUAUUUGGGAGUCUAUAGCCUUCAAAACCAAAUGCAAAAUGGUUGUGAACUUUGGUAUACUUAUUGGAUGGCAUUACUGGUAGCAAUGUAAGCAUCUCACACUUAACCUACAUAUUAUAUUCAGGUUUCAAUAAAUUUGGAUCAGGUAAUCUUGAGACUACUUCUAUAGUUAUCAAGCUUUGAUAUAUACACAAUAUAUUUUUUUAACAUUCCUGAACCCGAAGAGCCACUUUCCUAAAAGUUUAGUUGUAACCGUGCCCCAAACAUCUGGCAGUUAUUUUUUGAGGCAAGACACAAAAGGUCAUUGCAAAAAAUGCUGGCUGUUCACAGAGAUCUGUUUCCAAGCACAUUAAUAGAGAGGCGAAGGGAAGGAAAUGAUUUGGUAGAAAAAAAGUGUACAAGCAAUAGGGAUAACCGCACCCUGGAGAGGAUUGUGAAAGAAAGCCCAUUCAAAAAUGUGGGGGAGAUUUACAAAGAGUGGACUGCAGCUGGAGUCAGUGUUUCAAGAAUCACUACAGACGUAUGCAAGACAUGGGUUUCAGCUGUUGCAUUCCUUGUGUCAAGCCACUCUUGAACAAGACAGCAUCAGAAGCAUCUAAAAGGACUGGACUGCUGCUGAGUGGUCCAAAGUUAUGUUCUCUGAUGAAAGUAAAUCUUGCAUUUCCUUUGGAAAUCAGGGUCCCAGAGUCUGGAGGAAGAGAGGAGAGGCACACAAUCCACGUUGCUUGUGGUCCAGUGUAAAGUUUCCACAGUAAGUGAUGGUUUGGGGUGCCAUGUCAUCUGCUGGUGUUGGUCCACUGUGCUUUCUGAGGUUCAAGGUCAGUGCCACAGACUGAUUGACUCCAUGCCACGCCGCAUUGCUGGAGUAAUUCAGGCAAAAGGAGCCCCA